UACAGAGGUGGCAAGCGUUGUUCGGAAUUACUGGGCGUAAAGGGCGCGUAGGCGGUUCGUUAAGUCCUGUGUGAAAUCCCCCGGCUCAACUGGGGAACUGCACAGGAAACUAGCGGGCUUGAGUUCGGGAGAGGGAAGCGGAAUUCCGGGUGUAGCGGUGAAAUGCGUAGAUAUCCGGAGGAACACCGGUGGCGAAGGCGGCUUCCUGGACCGACACUGACGCUGAGGCGCGAAAGCUAGGGGAGCAAAAGGG
rnacentral:rRNA from 1 species